UGAAUACGAGACGCUAAGGCGUCGAAGUAGUGUAUGUCAUACUUCCAAGAAAAGCUUGCACUGUCAUAGAUAAAAAACGCCUGUACCAUAACCGACACAGGUGGGUAGGUAGAGUAUACUAAGGGGCGCGAGAUAACUCUCUCUAAGGAACUCGGCAAAAUAACUCCGUAACUUCGGGAGAAGGAGUGCCUUAUUCGUAAGGUUGCAAUAACAAGAUCCAAGCAACUGUUUAUCAAAAACACAGGUCUCCGCUAAGUCGUAAGACGAUGUAUGGGGGCUGACGCCUGCCCAGUGCCAGAAGGUUAAAGAAGUUGGUUAGCAAUUGCGAAGCUGAUAACUGAAGCCCUGGUGAACGGCGGCCGUAACAAUAACGGUCCUAAGGUAGCGAAAUUCCUUGUCGGGUAAGUUCCGACCCGCACGAAAGGCGUAAUGAUUUGGAUACUGUCUCGGAGAGGGGCUCGGUGAAAUAGACUUGUCUGUGAAGAUGCGGACUACCUGCACCAGGACAGAAAGACCCUAUGAAGCUUUACUGUAACUUGAAAUUGAAAUUGGACUUUAUUCGCGCAGUAUAGGUGGGAGGCGUUGAUUAUAAUCUUGUGGGAUUAUUGGAGCCAUCAGUGAGAUACCACUCUUGUAAUGUUAGAUUUCUAACUUUGAAUCAUUAUCUGGUCAAAAACAGUUUCAGGCGGGCAGUUUGACUGGGGCGGUCGCCUCCUAAACGGUAACGGAGGCGUACAAAGGUUUCCUCUGAACGGUUAGAAAUCGUAUCUAGAGUGUAAAGGCAUAAGGAAGCUUGACUGUGAGACCUACAAGUCGAGCAGGGACGAAAGUCGGUCUUAGUGAUCUGACGGUACUGAGUGGAAAGGCCGUCACUCAACGGAUAAAAGUUACUCUAGGAUAACAGGCUGAUCUCCCCCAAGAGUUCACAUCGACGGGGAGGUUUGGCACCUCGAUGUCGGCUCAUCGCAUCCUGGGGCGGUAGUACGUCCCAAGGGUUGGGCUGUUCGCCCAUGAAAGCGGUACGCGAGCUGGGUUCAGAACGUCGUGAGACAGUUCGGUCCAUAUCCGGUGUAGGCGUUAGAAUAUUGAGAGGAGCCUUCUUUAGUACGAGAGGACCGAGAAGGACAUACCUCUGGUGUACCAGUUAUCGUGCCAACGGUAAACGCUGGGUAGCUAUGUAUGGAGUGGAUAACCGCUGAAAGCAUCUAAGUGGGAAGCCCACCUCAAGAUAAGUAUUCUCA
rnacentral:rRNA from 1 species